rnacentral:hammerhead_ribozyme from 1 species
ACCCAGCUGACGUGUCCCGAGUAGGACGAAACGCGCGUCUUGGAU